GGGUGCAGUGUCAGGCCUGUAGUUCCAGCCACUUGGGAGGAGGGGACAGAGGACAGGAGGAUAGCGUGCGUGUAGGGGUUCUGGGAUGUAGUGCACUGUGGUCACUGGGUCUCAGCACUGAGUUCGGCAUCAGUGUGGUGACCUCCCAGUAGUAGGGGACCACCAGGUUGCCUAAGGAGGAGUGAACUGGCCCAGGUCAGAAACAGAGCAGGUCGAAACUCCCAUGCUGAUCAGUAGUGGGAUUGCACCUGUGAAUAGCCACUGCACUCAUAGUCAACAUAGUCAGAACCUGUCU
rnacentral:SRP_RNA from 10 species